AUGCCAAUCCAUGCUAUGAUGGCAAUAGAUCUUCCAGUUAAAACAAUUGAUGCAACCAAUAAGAUUUGUAGAUGUUUCCUAUGGAAGGGGCGACGAGAUGUUCACGGUGGACACUGCUUAGUGGCUUGGGAUCAGGUUUGUGCGCCCAAGGAGUAUGGUGGUCUUGGGGUGCCCAACUUACGACUGCUCAACAACUCUCUUCAUGCACGAUGGCCAUGGUUGGCUAGGACGGAUACGGAUAGGCCAUGGACAGAAUUCAACAUUCAGGUCUCGUCGGACUCAAUGGCUAUAUACAAGGCAGCCACCAAAUGCACCAUUGGGGAUGGGGAAUCCAUGCUAUUCUGUAUGGACUAGUGGCUGCAUGAGGAACGCAUACAGGAUAUCAUGCCACACCUGUUCAAGGAUGCAAAGAGAAGUGCGAUCAAGGUGAAAACCGUGGGACAGGCGGUCGUGGGAGGUUAGUGGCAGGACGUGUCGCCGAAUUUGGGCGCGGAAGCGAUAUAGGAGAUUCUCACUCUGGUGGACCGCAUGCAACUUGUCCAGGUGGAGGUGGGGAUACAAGACAGCAUCACCUGGAUAUGGGGAUCUAAUCGGCUAUUAUCGGCACGCUCUGCUUAUCGCGCACACUUCGUCGGAUGGAUAGAAGGUGCUGGUGUUGUACACAUUUGGAAUUCGCGGGCUCCGAACACAUGCAAGAUCUUCUCGUGGCUUGCUGGUAGGAGGAGAUGUUGGACGGCUGACAGGCUGUAGAGGCGCUUGAUGCCGCACCCCCCGGCCUGUCCACUAUGCGACCAAGACCCAUAGACGAUUGACCACUUGCUACUUGGAUGCAUGUUUGCGAGAUAGAUCUGGUCUGCCAUCACUAGCAAUUGGGGAAAACCCCAAUGGACCCCAACCCAUGGAGCUAAGCUAGUUCAAUGGUGGACUUCUUUGGACAUCAAGAUGAGGAUGAGGAAGGAAGCUUGGACGGUGAUUAUGUUGCUGGCAUGGACUAUUUGGAAACACAGAAAUGACGUCGUGUUCAAUGGCGGUCUACCUUCCAUCGACGUGGUGCUCGAGCGGAUCAACGCGGAAGGGGAGAGCUGGAGGGCUGCAUCGCUGCUACGGUAG
rnacentral:rRNA from 1 species